rnacentral:rRNA from 1 species
UUUAAAUUUAUUUAUUUAUUUAUUUAUUUUAAUGAUUAUAUGUAUAUAUAUAUAUAAAUAUUAAAAAUAGUUAUAAAAUUUAAAUUUUUAGUAUUAAUUUAAGAAAAAAUAAAUGUUUAUUAUAGUUUAUUAGUAUUGAAAAAGAAAAUUGAAAUAUUUUGAAAAAUUUUAAUUUAUAAAGAAAAAUUUAUUUUUUGUACCUUGUGUAUCAGGGUUUAUUAAAUAAUAUUUAUGAAUAUAAAUUUCUCGAUUUUAAAAGAUUUAAUAUAUUAUAAAAUUUAAAGUAAUAAAUUUAUUUUAAAUAAUAUAUUUGAAAUGAAAUGUUAUUCGUUUUUAAAGGUAUCUAGUUUUUUAAGAAAUAAAUUUAAUUUAUAAAUUUUAUAUUAUUUAUUUAAUUGUAAAAAUAAAUAAUUAUUUAAUUUAAUUAUUUUAUGGGAUAAGCUAUAAAAUAAAAGUUUAAAAAAUAUAGUUAUUAAAUAAAAUAUAGGGUUAAAAUUAUUCAAUAUUAGAGAAAAUGUAAUAAUUUAUUAUUAUGAUAGAAAAAUUUUAUAAAUUUUUAAAUAUUUAUUAAUAUAUAAUUUUUAUUUAAUAAAAGUUAGAAAUAAUGAUAAAAUUAGUAUAAUAUAUUAUAAAAAUAAAUUUAAAUUUUAAAUUUUUUUAAAGAAUUCGGCAAAAUUAUAUAUUCACCUGUUUAACAAAAACAUCUCUUUAUGAAUAAAUAUAAAGUUUAACCUGCCCAAUGAUUAAUUAAAUGGCUGCAGUAUAUUGACUGUACAAAGGUAGCAUAAUCAAUAGUUUUUUAAUUGAAAACUGGAAUGAAUGGUUGGAUGAAAUAUAAACUGUUUCAAAAAAAAUUUAUUAGAAUUUUAUUUUUUAGUAAAAAAGCUAAAAUUUAUUUAAAAGACGAGAAGACCCUAUAAAUCUUUAUAUAAUAUAUUUAUAUAUAAUUAUUUAGAAAAUUAUACAUAUAUAUAUAUAUAUAUAUAUUAUAUUUUAUUGGGGAGAUAGUAAAAUUUAAUAAACUUUUAUAAAUUAGUUUCAUUAAUUUAUGAAUAUUUGAUUAAUUAUUAAUGCAUAAUAAAAUAAGUUACUUUAGGGAUAACAGCGUAAUUAUUUUGGAGAGUUCAUAUUGAUAAAAUAGA